GAUGAACGCUGGCGGCAUGCCUUACACAUGCAAGUCGAACGGCAGCACGGGAGCAAUCCUGGUGGCGAGUGGCGAACGGGUGAGUAAUAUAUCGGAACGUGCCCAGUCGUGGGGAUAACGUAGCGAAAGCUACGCUAAUACCGCAUACGAUCUAUGGAUGAAAGCGGGGGAUCGCAAGACCUCGCGCGAUUGGAGCGGCCGAUAUCAGAUUAGGUAGUUGGUGAGGUAAAGGCUCACCAAGCCGACGAUCUGUAGCUGGUCUGAGAGGACGACCAGCCACACUGGGACUGAGACACGGCCCAGACUCCUACGGGAGGCAGCAGUGGGGAAUUUUGGACAAUGGGCGCAAGCCUGAUCCAGCAAUGCCGCGUGCAGGAUGAAGGCU
rnacentral:rRNA from 1 species